rnacentral:rRNA from 1 species
CCUACGGGAGACAGCAGUGGGGGAUAUUGCACAAUGGGGGGAAGCCUGAUGCAGCGACGCCGCGUGGGUGAAGAAGCGCCUCGGCGCGUAAAGCCCUGUCAGCAGGGAAGAAAAUGACGGUACCUGAACAAGAGGCCAUGGCGAACUACGUGCCAGCAGCCGCGGUAAUACGCAGGGGGCGAGCGUUAUCCGGAUUUACUGGGUGUAACGGGGGCGCAGACGGCGAUGCAAGCCAGGAGUGAAAGCCCGGGGCCCAACCCCGGGACUGCUCUUGGAACUGCGUGGCUGGAGUGCAGGAGGGGCAGGCGGAAUUCCUGGUGUAGCGGUGAAAUGCGUAGAUAUCAGGAGGAACACCGGUGGCGAAGGCGGCCUGCUGGACUGCAACUGACGUUGAGGCCCGAAAGCGUGGGGAGCAAACAGGAUUAGAUACCCCUGUAGUC